rnacentral:lncRNA from 1 species
GGCCGACCACGAUGAGGAAACCCCAGGCGGGGACGGGGGAAGCAGCACGGGAUCCCAGCCUCAGGCCUGCCCGGACGGUGUUGGUUGGGGAUCAAGAUGAGUACACUGCAGCCGAGAACAAGAGCCCCAGAGGAACUCUUUGUCCCACAGGAGAGCAGCGGAUCCACGCAAGAGAACAUGCUUGUAUCUUUUCACGGCUCUUCUCUGAGAAAUGAAGCCACACCACGAUACAGUCAGCAAGAGGAAGCCGGGAAUGGGAGAUGGCAACAGUCCCUGUCACUGGAACGCUGGCCUCUCUGGACAAGCCACCCUUUAGGAACCCCACCCCUUAUGCCUGUGGCGGUGGCACGGUGCUGUAUCCUGCCUGGGCUCUGGCCUCUACUCUCUCCUCCCUCUGGCUCUGCCUCCCCUGUUUCUCAGGGGCCUGGAUGCCUCUCGCUCUGGCCAAAUGCCUUCAAAAAAGAUGACUUCCCAGUCCGUCAGGGAGACACUUUCUGGA